UCAAGAAACUUCCACAAUGGGCGAAAGCCUGAUGGAGCGACGUCGCGUGAUGGACGAAGUGCUUCGGCACGUAAACAUCUUUUAUGUGGGAUGAAAUUAUUGACAGUACCACAUGAAUAAGGGGCUCCUAACUCUGUGCCAGCAGCCGCGGUAAUACAGAGGGUGCAAGCGUUAAUCGGAAUUACUGGGCGUAAAGAGUGCGUAGGCGGAUAUUUAAGUCAUAUGUGAAAGCCCCGGGCUUAACCUGGGAAUUGCAUCUGAUACUGGGUAUCUAGAGUGUGGUAGAGGAUAGUGGAAUUUCUGGUGUAGCGGUGAAAUGCGUAGAUAUCAGAAGGAACACCAGUGGCGAAGGCGACUGUCUGGGCCAACACUGACGCUGAGGUACGAAAGCGUGGGUAGCGAACAGGAUUAGAUACCCCGGUAGUCCCUGAGCGGGCUGGCAAGGCGCAU
rnacentral:rRNA from 1 species